AUUGAACGCUGGCGGCAGGCCUAACACAUGCAAGUCGAGCGAGCGGCGGACGGGUGAGUAAUGUGUGGGAACAUGCCUGCUGGAGGGGGAUAACUACUGGAACCGGUAGCUAAUACCGCAGAUCAUAAGAGGUGCCCAGAUGGGAUUAGCUAGUAGGGGGGGUAACGGCCCACCUCGACGACGAUCCCUAGCUGGUCUGAGAGGAUGACCAGCCACACUGGAACUGAGACAGGGUCCAGACUCCUACGGGAGGCAGCAGUGGGGAAUAUUGCACAAUGGGCGCAAGCCUGAUGCAGCCAUGCCGCGUGUGUGAAGAAGGCCUUGGGGGUGUAAAGCACUUUCAGCGGGGAGGCGUUACCCGCAGAAGAAGCACCGGCUAACUCCGUGCCAGCAGCCGCGGUAAUUC
rnacentral:rRNA from 1 species